CAUUUGAGUCUGCCUGCUCAUGAUUUAUUUAAUAGCCGCGGAAAUUUAACUGUGCUAAGGUAGCAUAAUCAUUAGCCCCUUAAUUAGGGGCUUGUAUGAAGGGCAAGACAUUUCGAUCUCUUUCUUUAUUAAAAAGUUUGAAAUUAAAUUAAGAAUAAAAAUGUUCUUAUAAAAUAUAAAGACGAUAAGACCCUUUUGAACUUUACUAUUGUUUGGCUGGGGCAGCCAAAAAACAAUGAUCUUAUCUUUCUUUUUUUCUUAGAUGACCCAAUAUUAUUGAGUUCUCGAACAAGUUACCAUAGGGAUAACAGCGUAAUAUCUUUUUAAAGCUCUUAUUUAAAAAGAAGAUUGCGACCUCGAUGUUGAAUUAAUGUUCCUUUACAGGUGCAAUAACUUUAAAAGUGGGUCUGUUCGACCUAUAAAACAUU
rnacentral:rRNA from 1 species